rnacentral:rRNA from 1 species
AUUGAACGCUGGCGGUAGGCCUAACACAUGCAAGUCGAACGCGAAAGUCCUUCGGGAUGAGUAGAGUGGCGGACGGGUGAGUAACGCGUAGGAAUCUAUCCUGUAGUGGGGGAUAACGUUUCGAAAGGAACGCUAAUACCGCAUACGCCCCACGGGGGAAAGCGGGGGAUCUUCGGACCUCGUGCUAUAGGAGGAGCCUGCGUCGGAUUAGCUAGUUGGUGAGGUAAAGGCUCACCAAGGCGACGAUCCGUGGCUGGUCUGAGAGGAUGAUCAGCCACACCGGAACUGAGACACGGUCCGGACUCCUACGGGAGGCAGCAGUGGGGAAUAUAGCGCAAUGGGCGAAAGCCUGACGCAGCCAUACCGCGUGUGUGAAGAAGGCCUUCGGGUUGUAAAGCACUUUCAGUGGGGAGGAAAAGCUGGUGGCUAAUAUCCAUCGGCCGUGACGCUACCCACAGAAGAAGCACCGGCUAAUUCCGUGCCAGCAGCCGCCGCCGUAA